GGAGUUUGGAACGUGUCUCAGUUCCAAUGUGGGGGACCUUCCUCUCAGAACCCCUACUGAUCGUCGCCUUGGUGGGCCGUUACCCCGCCAACAAGCUAAUCAGACGCAUCCCCAUCCCUUACCGCUGAGCUUUAUUCACCGUCAGAUGCCAUCUAGUGAAACUAUCAGGAGUUAAUCCGGUUUUCACCGGGUUAUUCCCCAACCGGGGGCAGGUUGCAUACGUGUUACUCACCAGUGCGCCGGUCGCCGGCGGAGGUAUUGCUACCUCCCCGCUGCCCCUCGACUUGCAUGUGUUAAGCCUGUCGCUAGCGUUCAUC
rnacentral:rRNA from 1 species